rnacentral:rRNA from 1 species
ACCUGUUCCCAUCCCGAACACAGAAGUUAAGCUCUUCAGCGCCGAUGGUAGUUGGGACUUUGUCCCUGCAAGAGUAGGACGCCGCCAGGC